GCAGCACUAAUACGCGCACGGAGGGGAGGUGGUGCUUCGGUGGCAUCUGGCACUGACCCUGUGGAGUUUCUUUGAAGGCAUUGAUUUGUUUCGAUGCAUGUGUGUCUAUGUAACGGUGUUUUCUGCCUGUGUUCAGGUCACACAUGACCCCGGAUCCACUGGGAGGCCCGGGUCUUUCAGGUCCGCUAUAUGGUUCUGCCUCGAAUCUGGGUCAAAGGAUGAAAAGACCCCCCCCCCCCCCCCCCCCCUCGUCCAACACGACACACGCACGUGAUCAGUUCUCUGAAGGAGGACUUCCUGGAGAUCCAGCGUGUUGCAGCAGACAGAAGGAGGUGAAGGUCUGUGCAGCAGAUGUGAAAUAACAACACAUACACGUCUAAUUUAGAGUAAUGACCCAAUGGAUAAUACUGAUAGUGAUAACAUCCUUUUUCACUGUAUAAAUGGGGAGUCUUAACCCACUUUUUUGUUUUUUGUUUGUCUUUACCUACAGAUCCAUGAAGAGCAGACAUGGAGCCAUCCUGGGAAAUUACCUUUUCUGACAGACGGCACAUGGAGACUUGGUUAGACAACCACCCAACCUGGAGCCUCAGCCGUCUGAUCGAAGGGAGCAGCUCUCCAUGACAGACUAAACAGAGCAGAAUCACAGUGAUGACGAAAGAGAGCACGCUCUCUUCCUGCUUGUAGUUCAACUCCUCCAGAUCCCUCAAGACCCGCGUGGUGUUGCAGGUUCGCGUAUUUGCUCUCAUGUGGAGGCAUCAGAGUAUGUUUCUCUUAGUUUUAAAUUAAAGUUUUUAUGUUGAUCCUGUGUGUGUGUGCAUACGUGCAUUCUCUAUAUAAACUUGCAGUGCACCUGUAAACAAUAUGUCCACAUUCAUGUCUACUGUAUAAUGUAUUUCUGUUUAUGGGUGUUUGUAUUCAUGCAAAUGUGUGUGUGUGUGUGUGUGUGUGUGUGUGUGUGUGUGUGUGUGUGUGUGUGUGUGUGUGUGUGUGUGUGUGUGUGUGUGUGCGCGGCUCUUUGUGAGCUGCAGGCAGUGAAGAAUGUGUUGAGGAGAGAGAAGAAGCAGAGGAGAGGAGUAAACAAGCUGCAGUAGCUUCAGUGAGUGUCAGUCUUCCUCUGCCUCCACCUUCCUUUACUUUUCAUUAAACAAAC
rnacentral:lncRNA from 1 species